rnacentral:rRNA from 1 species
AUUGAACGCUGGCGGCAUGCCUUACACAUGCAAGUCGAACGGCAGCACGGGUGCUUGCACCUGGUGGCGAGUGGCGAACGGGUGAGUAAUACAUCGGAACGUACCUUAUCGUGGGGGAUAACGCAGCGAAAGCUGUGCUAAUACCGCAUACGCCCUGAGGGGGAAAGCGGGGGAUCGAAAGACCUCGCGCGAUUAGAGCGGCCGAUGCCUGAUUAGCUUGUUGGUGGGGUAAAAGCCCACCAAGGCGACGAUCAGUAGCUGGUCUGAGAGGACGAUCAGCCACACUGGGACUGAGACACGGCCCAGACUCCUACGGGAGGCAGCAGUGGGGAAUUUUGGACAAUGGGGGAAACCCUGAUCCAGCAAUGCCGCGUGAGUGAAGAAGGCCUCGGGUUGUAAAGCUCUUUGUCUAGGGAAGAAACACCGGCUCUAACACAGUCCGGGAAUGACGGUACCUGAAGAAUAAGCACCGGCUAACUACGUGCCAGCAGCCG